UGCAAGGGUGACAGUUUGAGCUAAUAAUAGUAGUAAUAAAAAAUAACAAUGGUAGCUUUGGCACUUUAUUCUCGCUUACACAGCAGCCCUAUACUAGAUGCUUUUCACCCUUUAGUAAUGUAGACAUCACAACAAUCGAUUUUCAAAAUGAGGAAGGGGAGCUCAGAGAAAUUAAGUAUCUUUCAAAGGCUGCCAAGCUGGGAAUCAGCCUCAGGCCCAGCCUGUACGGUUGGAGAUUGGGGGCGAAUUCUGCCUUGGGCAGAGGUUCGGGGAAGGGAUCAGCCCUGGGCGAGGUCUGAGGGUCUGAGGGCGGAGGACACGGUCAGCCGACCGGGCAGGGGUCCGCACCUGCAGCCCAGGAAAAGGUGGUUGGCCCAGACCAUGGAGAGGGAGAGCAGCUGGUCCAGGCGUCCGCCGCCGUCGGGCGGGUCGCGGUAGUCGGGAAGGUGACGGAGGAUGAACUCCAUCCGGGCCUUCCAUUGCUUUUCGCUCUCGGAGUAGGAACGGAACUGUUCCGCGUAGUCGGUCGCCUGCCGCACCCCCAAAACCAGCUCUUCCACCGCAGCGGCCGCCUCGCCACCCACCAUAGCGCCAGCGGCUGCCAAGCGCAAGACCCGCCCGCCGCCUUCCCGACGCGCACCGCGCCGCUGCCACACGACUAGAGGGGCCCGGGUGGUGCGCGACUGCUCGGGAGAACCCGCCUAGAGCGCCCUCUCCGGGCACGGCGGCCUGAGGGGACUGUGGUCCCCGCGUCUAAACCUUCAGACUUCGGUAGCCUGCGGCGCCUGGCGUCGGGUUACUCUGGGGCCGUAGAGGGGAUUCAUGGCCGACUCCGUGGGAAACUGAAGUCCCCAACCAGAGAGUUGGGUCUCCACCCUUCCAGUCGAGCAGCCGAGGUCAGCAGGGACUACGCUGUGUCCUUCAGGCCCUGGGGGUUCCUUGGGCACCGCCUCGUCCAGGGCAACGUGAGGGGUCUGAACUGCACAUGGAUGCCCUCAGUUAUGAGGAAUUACGUAUGGCUAUCCGGGGUUCGUCUGGAUAGAUUCCCGCAGCUCUUAACACCCCAUCUGGAGCGAGUUAACCAUUCAUUCAUUCGUCUGGUAAAUACCUGCCAGGCACUUUGCUAGGUGCUGGAAAUACAAUGAGAGCAAACUCAACCCUGUUCUAAUGAAAUUUACCCUUUUAGGGGAGAGGCAAACUUUAGCGAAAUAAUUGCUCAAGUAAAUGGAAAAUUUCAACGGUGACAAGUAUUAAUAAGGAGAGGCCCAGGAUGCUGAAUAUGAAUAAGCAAAGGACCUAAACCAGACUUGGGGUCAGGGAAGGCUUCCCCAAGGAAGUGAUACUGGAGAGCUGAGGGAUGAACAGAACUUAAGUAAAGGGGAGCAGGCCAUGGCAAGAGGAGAGCCUGCAAGAGAACGGAAAGAUCUGUAUGGCUGGACCCUAGAGAGGCGUGAAGAGUGGAGGAGAUGAGGCUGCAGGGCUCAGCAAGGCCAGCUAGAUACUAAGAAGAAUGAGGAAACACUGAGAAAUUUUAACCAGAGCAGUGACAUCUAUUUCCAAAAAAGAUGUUGAAAGGAGCCAGAAUAAUUGCGUCUGGUGGGCAUGAACAGGAGAACCUGGAAGAUCAGAUUUGAGAGAAGAUGAUGUGGGAAAUUCAGGAUGCCUGAGGAUGCCCUGAGGGCCUGGACUUGGAGGACGAUGAAUCUGGGGGCAUCCAGCCUCUACUACAGUCAUGGAGUGUGUGAAGGACUCAGAGAGAAAUGACAGUCCCUUGUUGCUGCAUUUAAUUGGAGAGGAGCACAGAGAUCCGAGAUGAUAAUUAUGACACCUUAAAUGUCAAGAUCUUCAAAAGUCUGCCAUUGUCCUCGCUGUCACCCUGAGCAGCUCUGGGAACGGAAACCCUGCAGCCCCCCAGAGCGUGCCCUGGGUCUCUCAGCCCGGCUUCACCUGGGAAAUCUGAGUGACAGUGACGUGCAGGCUGCAGGAAGACGCACAGUCAACAGAGGAGCUGUGACGAGCUCUGAAGAGUGUGAUGCUCCUUGGAAACACAGGAUGAAGAUUGUAGAGCCACAAGAUGGAAGGAAUCUGGGUCCCUGGAUCACUACUUGGAGGAAAGACAACUGCUGAUCGGGGCAUCCAUUUGAGGUUUAACGUGAGCAAGAAAUAAGGUACAAGAGGAUACAGUGACACAUUCCAGGACUGCCGAAGGCCAAAUGAUGAGACCAUCCUCCAUCCAUCCUGUGGCCUCUAAGCCAAGUUGGGAUUGUCCUAGCUCUGGGUUUUAUAGCUCGCCAGGACUCCAUGGGGGUGGCGUGGAUGCCCAUUGGUAAGUCCAAGUGGGGAGCUCUAUAAGGUCCCUCUGACUCCUCACCCCCCUUUUCUGGCCUCAUCCUUCUGGGGUCAUUCCUGCCUGGGAACCCACCUAGGAGGGUUAUGUCUCCCCAACCCAGCACCCACAACUGAGAGGCAAGGUUGCUGUUCUCAGCAGCAGUGAUGCCUCCAAGGAGCCUCCUGAAUGGGCUUCUCAGCAGCUGAUGGAAACACCGGGCAGUCUUCCCCUCCCCACACCACUCAAGGCUGCAAUUUUGUAAACCAGGAAUUAAGGGCUGGAAUACACAAUGCCCUGCGGUCUCCCAGUGUGGCAGGAUCCUAAAGCAGGAUCAGUUUCCCUUAGAAGCCAGGCAAUUGGCAGGAGGGUACUCCAGGAAACAAGCCAUUUUGGGGCAAUGCUUACCUGCUUUUUCCUCUUCUUCAGCGUCUCUGAAUGAGUCUAAAUUGAAUUAUUAAUCUAGUCCUGUGUGCCUGUGUCACUUUGCCAGACAACCAGUUUAUUCAUGACUCGCCCACUAUCAAGUUCAACAUGCAAUUUGCAAUGAAAGUUGACUGAUCAGCAAU